rnacentral:tRNA from 1 species
GGGCGGGUUCCCGAGUGGCCAAAGGGGGCAGACUGUAAAUCUGUUAGCAACGCUUUCGAUGGUUCGAAUCCAUCUCCGCCCA